UGGGGACCGAGCGGGCACAAACCCGCACCAGCCAGUCUGGUGCUUUGGGCAUUUCCUGGCUUCUAGGGAAGCUCUGUCCCCACGGGCAGCAGGAGACCCGCGUGUGGUCAGGAACCACCUCCGUUUUCCAGAUAUUGCACUGUCACCAACCCCCUACUCGGGACCUUUCGACUGGAGUGCAUGGGCUGGUCCCCCGCAUUCCAAGUGGUAGUGGCACCCGAACAGAGACCCGAGUAGAAGGCAUUUCAAAGGUGUCCUUAUAAGGAUCCACGGAGCAGAUACAGAUGAGGGGAGAAAGCCAUAAGGCCAUGAAGGCAGAGAUCCGGAGGCACACGGCCACAAGCCAACAAAUGCCUGAGGGCACCAGAAGCUGGAAGAGGCAAAGAAAGACGAGUCUUUGGAGGAAGCCUGGCCUUGCCAACAUCUUGAUUCCAGAUUUCUGGCCUCCCGAACUAUAAAAGAAGAAACUUCUGUUGUCUCAAGCCAACAAAUUUACGACGAUUUUGUUAUAGGAAAUAAAUACCAAUAAAUACCAUUUAUAAUUUUAGGACAAAGAAUUG